ensembl:lncRNA
GGUAGCAUUAGAAAAAAUUGUUGUUUAGCGUCUUGAUAUUUGGGGGAUAUUGUUUCUCAUUCCAUCCCAUUCUUCAGUUCAGAACAGAGAUUUACUUCCCUCAAAAAGACAGUUCAGUUCUUAUUACAAUCAGUGACUAACACAAAAUUCAGUGAAACCAGAAAAACCAACAAGUGUAAUAUGCCUCCGUGCAUUCACGCCUCAUGGAACUGAAGUUUGCUGCCUCACAUCCAAGCAGAAGUUUGGGCUCAUUAGGAUUUCUGAGUGUCAAAGCUGUUGCUAAAACACUACAGCGUCAGCAAGAAGCCUGUAACAGCACACUGUCUCGGUAGACAGCAGCUGCUAGUGGUGUGAACACAAAGUUUGGGUGUUUCCCCAGGAAAAAAAAAUAAACCGCCGAUCUUUCCUUCUUUCCCCUCGCCUCUUUCUCCUCAUGUCUAUCCAUUGUAUUGGUGCGUGUCUGCAAUUGUAAAGCUGGUCUGUUUUUAAAAAAGAAGAGUACCUGUGGAUAUAUUUAUUUCAUCUAAAAAAGAAAAUAGCAUAUCUAAAUAUAUAUGAUAGUAUAUUUCAAGACUCUAAGAUCUAUGUUAUAUAAGUUUGUCUACUAAAUUUACGGUAUUAUCUCAAUGAAUAUGUCUUUUUUGUCUGUUUGUCUGUCUCUCCUUGUCUCGAAACCUCCUGCCCAGCUCCCUACCCCCCAGCGAAAACAGAGACCAGUAUGUAACUGUGUUUUUGCUCACUUAAGACCAACCAUCCGCCUCCAUUAGCUAUCUACUGUAGCUAAUGCUAAGAGUUCAACUAAAGUGACAACGUGGAGGGGUGUGCGAGUGUCUUAUGACCGUGUCACUGUAGCAGUGGUGGCGUGUGUUUGUCUACCCAGAGGGGCCUUUAUUUUUGGUUUGGGCUACAGAUUAACGACUAAUUAAACCUUUUAUGGAUACAGCAGCUUUUACCACAACUCUCACUUGUGUAGGGUUCGCAUUGUCGACCCUCUUUUGGGUUCACCGGACCCGCCAGUUUCUACUGUAGUGUACAGUGAGGUGACCUCUUUGAAACACAAUGUAGCGAGCAGCACAGGCUUUUUUGGUUUGUUUCUUUUGCAUCUCUUAGUAGCUGUAUUACUCUUACGAAACAUGCACAGCUACCCCUGCCAACCAACCUAUAUGGUAUAUAUAAGGAAUUUGAUAUAUGUACAUAGUGUGUUGUAUUUGCCACGCUGCUGUGCUGUAAAACAAAAAAAGAAAAAAAGAAUUAUACACUACGAACACACGGUUUCUUUCUUAAUUUUACAAAACUGGUAAAGCUAUUAUGACACAUGUCAGGGGCAGAGCUGAAUCUGCUCACUGGUGUGGUUUCCACUAAGGCCAAAAGUGGCCAAACCAGGGCUUUCAGUUUUUUAAUCAUCACAUUUAACAAAUUAAAUAACAAAAACACUCAGUAUCCCCACUUUUUUCCAGCAGGGAAUUGGCUAGAACAUGGAAACAACAUUUCCUGAGGUCUUUCCUUGUGCCCAAUUUGUUCAUACAUGUGUUUACAGUACUUUAAAUCCAUGAUAAGUUGGUAUGGUCGAAUAUAAAUCCUUUUCCCAAACAGCUUUUAACGAUAUUUGAAGCAUUUAGUGGUUCUGAGCCCUGGCAAGCCCAGUUUUAGCCUGCAGUGGAAGCACAUCCACAGUUUUUGCCUGUACGCCUCUGAACAAUGUCUCAAGGCCUUGUAUUAAUUCUGCUGUAUUGACUGACUGUAUGGGAUGAUGGCUGGUUGUACUGCAUUCUAUUGUCAGCACCUCUCACUCACACACACACACACACACACACACACACACACACACACAAACACAGUCAGACUCACAUAUACACACAUACACACAGAUGUGGUAUGAUGCCGCCACCACCCUGCUUUAGCCACAUCUGCCAGCAGUGAUGACAAUACUGUGCUGUACUACAAGCAGGAUGAAAAUAAAAAGAUGAUUUUAAUAAAGAACUCAAGUGACUGAGUUUUAUUU